GUCUUUUUGUUAAUAAUUUAAAGUCUAAUCUGCCCACUGAUAUUAUAUUAAAGGGCUGCAGUAUUUUGACUGUACAAAGGUAGCAUAAUCAUUAGUCUUUUAAUUGGUGACUUGUAUGAAUGAUUGGAUGAGAUAUAAACUGUUUCUUGAUUAUUUAUAAAAUUUAAUUUUUUUAUUAAAAAGUAAAAAUAAACUUAAAAGACGAGAAGACCCCAUAGAGUUUUAUAUAAUAAUUAAUUUAUAAAUUGUAUUUUAGAAUUUAAUUAAAAUUAUUUUUUAUAUUUUAUUGGGGUGAUAAAAAAAUUAAAAAAACUUUUUUAUAUAAUACCAUAGAUAAGUGAUUUUUUGAUCCAUUAUUAUUGAUUAAAAGAAAAAAUUACCUUGGGGAUAACAGCGUAAUUUUUUUUUUUAGUUCAAAUAGGAAAAAGAGUUUGCGACCUCGAUGUUGGAUUAAGAUAAAAUUUAAAUGCAAAAGUUUAAAAUUUUGAUCUGUUCGAUCAUUAAAAUCUUACAUGAUCUGAGUUCAAACCGGUGUAAGCCAGGUUGGUUUCUAUCUUUAAAUUAAUAAAAUAUUUUAGUACGAAAGGAUUGAAUAUUUAAAAUAAUUUUUAUUUUAUGAAUUUUAUUAAUUUGAUUUAUAAAAUAAAUAUUGGUUUAUUUAUUAAUA
rnacentral:rRNA from 1 species